AUUGAACGCUGGCGGCAGGCCUAACACAUGCAAGUCGGACGGUAGCACAGAGGAGCUUGCUCCUUGGGUGACGAGUGGCGGACGGGUGAGUAAUGUCUGGGGAUCUGCCCGAUAGAGGGGGAUAACCACUGGAAACGGUGGCUAAUACCGCAUAACGUCGCAAGACCAAAGAGGGGGACCUUCGGGCCUCUCACUAUCGGAUGAACCCAGAUGGGAUUAGCUAGUAGGCGGGGUAAUGGCCCACCUAGGCGACGAUCCCUAGCUGGUCUGAGAGGAUGCACAGCCACACUGGAACUGAGACACGGUCCAGACUCCUACGGGAGGCAGCAGUGGGGAAUAUUGCACAAUGGGCGCAAGCCUGAUGCAGCCAUGCCGCGUGUAUGAAGAAGGCCUUCGGGUUGUAAAGUACUUUCAGCGGGGAGGAAGGCGAUGUGGUUAAUAACCGCAUCGAUUGACGUUACCCGCAGAAGAAGCACCGGCUAACUCCGUGCCAGCCGCCGCAGUAA
rnacentral:rRNA from 1 species